UACGAAGGGGGGCAAGCGUUGUUCGGAAUUACUGGGCGUAAAGGGCGCGUAGGCGGUGCAUUAAGUCAGGCGUGAAAGCCCUGGGCUCAACCCGGGAAUUGCGCUUGAUACUGGUGCGCUUGAAUCCAGGAGAGGUUGGUGGAAUUCCCAGUGUAGAGGUGAAAUUCGUAGAGAUUGGGGAAGAAACACCGGUGGCGAAGGCGGCCAACUGGACU
rnacentral:rRNA from 1 species